AUUGAACGCUGGCGGCAGGCCUAACACAUGCAAGUCGAGCGAGCGGCGGACGGGUGAGUAAUGUCUGGGGAUCUGCCCGAUGGAGGGGGAUAACUACUGGAAACGGUAGCUAAUACCGCAUACUAUCGGAUGUGCCCAUAUGGGAUUAGCUAGUAGGUGAGGUAAUGGCUCACCUAGGCGACGAUCCCUAGCUGGUCUGAGAGGAUGACCAGCCACACUGGAACUGAGACACGGUCCAGACUCCUACGGGAGGCAGCAGUGGGGAAUAUUGCACAAUGGGCGCAAGCCUGAUGCAGCCAUGCCGCGUGUAUGAAGAAGGCCUUAGGGUUGUAAAGUACUUUCAGCGGGGAGGCGUUACCCGCAGAAGAAGCACCGGCUAACUCCGUGCCAGCAGCCGCGGUAAUUC
rnacentral:rRNA from 1 species